rnacentral:rRNA from 1 species
UCGAACGGUAACAGGAUGUGCUUGCUCAUCGCUGACGAGUGGCGGACGGGUGAGUAAUGCUUGGGAACUUGCCUUUGCGAGGGGGAUAACAGUUGGAAACGACUGCUAAUACCGCAUAAUGUCUUCGGACCAAACGGGGCUUAGGCUCCGGCGCAAAGAGAGGCCCAAGUGAGAUUAGCUAGUUGGUAAGGUAAAGGCUUACCAAGGCAACGAUCUCUAGCUGUUCUGAGAGGAAGAUCAGCCACACUGGAACUGAGACACGGUCCAGACUCCUACGGGAGGCAGCAGUGGGGAAUAUUGCACAAUGGGGGAAACCCUGAUGCAGCCAUGCCGCGUGUGUGAAGAAGGCCUUCGGGUUGUAAAGCACUUUCAGUUGUGAGGAAAAGUUAGUAGUUAAUACCUGCUAGCCGUGACGUUAACAACAGAAGAAGCACCGGCUAACUCCGUGCCAGCAGCCGCGGUAAUACGGAGGGUGCGAGCGUUAAUCGGAAUUACUGGGCGUAAAGCGCACGCAGGCGGUUUGUUAAGCUAGAUGUGAAAGCCCCGGGCUCAACCUGGGAUGGUCAUUUAGAACUGGCAGACUAGAGUCUUGGAGAGGGGAGUGGAAUUCCAGGUGUAGCGGUGAAAUGCGUAGAUAUCUGGAGGAACAUCAGUGGCGAAGGCGACUCCCUGGCCAAAGACUGACGCUCAUGUGCGAAAGUGUGGGUAGCGAACAGGAUUAGAUACCCUGGUAGUCCACACCGUAAACGCUGUCUACUAGCUGUUUGUGACUUUAAGUCGUGAGUAGCGAAGCUAACGCGAUAAGUAGACCGCCUGGGGAGUACGGCCGCAAGGUUAAAACUCAAAUGAAUUGACGGGGGCCCGCACAAGCGGUGGAGCAUGUGGUUUAAUUCGAUGCAACGCGAAGAACCUUACCUACACUUGACAUGCUGAGAACUUU